AGCGAACGCUGGCGGCAGGCUUAACACAUGCAAGUCGAGCGGGCAUCUUCGGAUGUCAGCGGCAGACGGGUGAGUAACACGUGGGAACGUACCCUUCGGUUCGGAACAACUCUGGGAAACUGGUGCUAAUACCGGAUACGCCCUUAUGGGGAAAGGUUUACUGCCGAAGGAUCGGCCCGCGUCUGAUUAGCUAGUUGGUGGGGUAACGGCCUACCAAGGCGACGAUCAGUAGCUGGUCUGAGAGGAUGAUCAGCCACACUGGGACUGAGACACGGCCCAGACUCCUACGGGAGGCAGCAGUGGGGAAUAUUGGACAAUGGGCGCAAGCCUGAUCCAGCCAUGCCGCGUGAGUGAUGAAGGCCUUAGGGUUGUAAAGCUCUUUUGUCCGGGACGAUAAUGACGGUACCGGAAGAAUAAGCCCCGGCUAACUUCGUG
rnacentral:rRNA from 1 species